GAUGAACGCUGGCGGCGUGCCUAAUACAUGCAAGUCGAGCGGACGGACGAGAAGCUUGCUUCUCUGAUGUUAGCGGCGGACGGGUGAGUAACACGUGGAUAACCUACCUAUAAGACUGGGAUAACUUCGGGAAACCGGAGCUAAUACCGGAUAAUAUUUUGAACCGCAUGGUUCAAAAGUAAAAGACGGUCUUGCUGUCACUUAUAGAUGGAUCCGCGCUGCAUUAGCUAGUUGGUAAGGUAACGGCUUACCAAGGCAACGAUGCAUAGCCGACCUGAGAGGGUGAUCGGCCACACUGGAACUGAGACAGGGUCCAGACUCCUACGGUAGGCAGCAGUAGGGAAUCUUCCGCAAUGGGCGAGAGCCUGACGGAGCAACGCGGCGUGAGUGAUGAAGGUCUUCGGAUCGUAAAACUCUGUUAUUAGGGAAGAACAUAUGUGUAAGUAACUGUGCACAUCUUGACGGUACCUAAUCAGAAAGCCACGGCUAACUACGUG
rnacentral:rRNA from 1 species